UACCCGCUGAACUUAAGCAUAUCAAUAAGCGGAGGAAAAGAAACCAACCGGGAUUGCCUUAGUAACGGCGAGUGAAGCGGCAAAAGCUCAAAUUUGAAAUCUGGUACCUUCGGUGCCCGAGUUGUAAUUUGGAGAGGGCAACUUUGGGGCCGUUCCUUGUCUAUGUUCCUUGGAACAGGACGUCAUAGAGGGUGAGAAUCCCGUGUGGCGAGGAGUGCGGUUCUUUGUAAAGUGCCUUCGAAGAGUCGAGUUGUUUGGGAAUGCAGCUCUAAGUGGGUGGUAAAUUCCAUCUAAAGCUAAAUAUUGGCGAGAGACCGAUAGCGAACAAGUACAGUGAUGGAAAGAUGAAAAGAACUUUGAAAAGAGAGUGAAAAAGUACGUGAAAUU
rnacentral:rRNA from 1 species